rnacentral:rRNA from 1 species
GACAGAGGUCCCGAGCGUUAGGCGGAAUCACUGGGCUUAAAGCGUGUGUAGGCGGAUUUGUAAGUACCUUGUGAAAUCCCACAGCUUAACUGUGGAACUGCUUGGUAUACUGCUUAUCUUGGGCCACUUAGGGGUUACCGGAACAAACGGUGGAGCGGUGAAAUGCGUAGAUAUCAGGAGGAAUACCGGUGGCGAAAGCGACUCUCUGGACGGCAACUGACGCUGAGGCACGAAAGCGUGGGGAGCAAACAGG